AUUUAAAAGUCAACUUGUUUUAUUUAAAUAUGUAUAUGUUUAAUUUUUUAGAAAAAUUUAAAUAAAUAAUUGAGGAAGUAUCUUUAAAAAAAACCUUAAUUUAAAACUAAAGCUUAUAAGUACCGUAAGGGAAAGUUAAAAUUUGCGGAAAAGAAAAUAUAUUUUGUACCUUUGGUAUCAGGGACUAUCAAUAUAAUUUAAAAAUUUUUAAUAUUCUCGAAGUAAGGUGAGCUAAUUUAAUAAAAGUUUUUAUGUUGUAAAUUGAAACUUAAUAAUGUUAUUUUAGUGGUGAUAUGUCAGUCGUACCUUAUAUAUCUAGUUAUCUUUGAAAUAAAUUUAAUUUAACUUUUACGAAAACCUUUGUAAAGUUAUAUCUUUAAAGGGAAGAGCUUUUAAAGAUUAUUUUGUAAUAUGAUUUUUAAAAUAUUAAUUGUAGAAUUAGGCUUAAGAUCAGCCCUGUUAUUAGUACGUUGUAGUUAACACAAUAAUCCAAAAUGUUUUAUUUAAAUCUAAUUAAGUAAAAGAUAUUUUUUUUAAACAGAAUUUAAAAAUAAAAAAUGAUUGUAUUAGUAUAAUGUUUUGUGAUUUGUAAUAAAUAGAAUAAGAAAUUCAUUUUAAACACUUUUCGCUGCAAUCAAGGAACUCGGCAAAAAUAAUUUUCGCCUGUUUAUCAAAAACAUGUCUACUGGGAUAAAAUGUGUAGUCUGGCCUGCCCACUGAAAUUUAAAGGGCCGCGGUAUCUGAACCGUGCUAAGGUAGCAUAAUCAAUAGUCUCUUAAUUGGGGUCUAGAAUGAACGGUCGGACGAAAAAUUAGCUGUCUUGGGUGUAAAAUUGAACUUUACUUUUAAGUGAAAAGGCUUAAAUUCAAUGAAGGGACGAUAAGACCCUAUGAAGCUUAAUGUAAAUUAUUUUAAAGUAAUUUUAAAUAAUUGGGUGUUUUAUUUUUAUAAUGUUUACAUUGUGCUGGGGCGGCUGUAAUAUAAAUUUAACUGUUAUUCGGUAAAAAAUAAUUAUAUUUAGACAAACUUGAUCCUUUACUUACGGAUUACAAGAUUUAAGUUACUCUAGGGAUAACAGCGUAAUUCUUCUUGAGAGUUCAUAUCGACAGAAGUAGUUGCGACCUCGAUGUUGAAUUAAAAUUUCAUUAAGGUGUAGGAGCUUUAAUAGUAGGUCUGUUCGACCUUUAAAAUUUUACAUGAUUUGAGUUCAGACCGGCGUGAGCCAGGUUAGUUUCUAUCUUUUAUUUGUAUAAAAUCACUCUAGUACGAAAGGAGAAAGUGGUUGGAAAAUUUUCUUUAUUAAGAUGAAUUUUAAUUACUUUGGCAGAUGAAUGCACUAGAUUUAGGAUCUAAUCAUAUAGAAAAAU
rnacentral:rRNA from 1 species